UCGAAAGUGAGGCAUCUCAUUUUCGGGAAACGGUAGGGCUCUUCGGACCUUCUGUUGAGGGAACGGAUCACGACCUAUUAGCUAGUUGGUGAGGUAACGGCUCACCAAGGCUGUGAUGGGUAGCCGGCCUGAGAGGGUGGUCGGCCGCAUUGGGACUGAGACACGGCCCAGACUCCUACGGGAGGCAGCAGUCGAGAAUCUUCCGCAAUAGGCGAAAGCCUGACGGAGCGACGCCGCGUGAAGGAUGAAGGCCUUCGGGUUGUAAACUUCUGUCACUCGCUAUGAAUGAUAUGGUGUUAACAGCGCCUUAUUUGACCAAGGCGAGAGAGGAAGCACCGGCUAACCCUGUGCCAGCAGCCGCGGUAAGACAGGGGGUGCAAACGUUGCUCGGAAUCACUGGGCGUAAAGCGCACGUAGGCGGUCUCGUGAGUCGGGUGUGAAAUCCCACAGCUUAACUGUGGAACUGCGCCCGAUACUGCGGGGCUCGAGGAUGGGAGGGGAGAGCGGAAUUCCUGGUGGAGCGGUGAAAUGCGUAGAUAUCAGGAGGAACACCGGUGGCGAAAGCGGCUCUCUGGUCCAUCCCUGACGCUGAGGUGCGAGAGCUAGGGGAGCAAACGGGAUUAGAUACCCCGGUAGUCCUAGCUGUAAACGAUGGGCACUAGGUAGAGGGAUCUAUGCGUCUCUUUGCCGGAGCUAACGCGUUAAGUGCCCCGCCUGGGGAGUAUGCUCGCAAGGGUAAAGCUCAAAGGAAUUGACGGGGGCUCACACAAGCGGUGGAGCAUGUGGUUCAAUUCGACGCAACGCGAAGAACCUUACCCAGACUUGACAUGUACGGAUUAGCCGGCGGAAACGUUGGUGACGCUCGCAAGAGUGGAACAUGCACAGGUGCUGCAUGGCUGUCGUCAGCUCGUGUCGUGAGAUGUUGGGUUAAGUCCCGUAACGAGCGAAACCCUUGCCCCAAGUUGCGACCAGGUAAAGCUGAGCACUCUUAGGGGACUGCCGUUGUCAAAACGGAGGAAGGUGGGGAUGACGUCAAGUCAUCAUGGCUUUUAUGUCUGGGGCUACACACGUGCUACAAUGGCCGGUACAACGGGUUCCGAGGGCGCAAGCCGGAGGCAAUCUCUUAAAGCCGGUCUCAGUUCGGAUUGGAGGCUGCAACUCGCCUCCAUGAAGCCGGAAUCGCUAGUAAUCGCGGAUCAGCUACGCCGCGGUGAAUAUGUUCCUGAGCCUUGUACACACCGCCCGUCAAGCCACGAAAGCUGAGAGCACCUUAAGUCGCUUGCCUAACCGCAAGGAGGGCGGCGCCCACGGUGAGCUCGGUGAUUGGGACUAAGUCGUAACAAGGUA
rnacentral:rRNA from 1 species